GAUUGCGUAGCUCAGUUGGCAGACCAUUGGGCUAGACGGCUAGUAUUCCAAAGGUCGUAGGUUCGAUUCCCACCGUAACCA
rnacentral:tRNA from 1 species